UACGUAGGGUGCGAGCGUUAAUCGGAAUUACUGGGCGUAAAGUGUGCGCAGGCGGCCGCGCAAGUCGAGUGUGAAAGCCCCGAGCUUAACUUGGGAAUUGCGCUCGAAACUACGUGGCUGGAGUGUGGCAGAGGAAGGUGGAAUUCCACGUGUAGCGGUGAAAUGCGUAGAGAUGUGGAGGAACACCAAUGGCGAAGGCAGCUCGCUGGGACGUGACUGACGCUGAGGCGCGAAAGCGUGGGGAGCAAACAGG
rnacentral:rRNA from 1 species